rnacentral:rRNA from 1 species
UACGGAGGGUGCAAGCGUUGUCCGGAUUUAUUGGGUUUAAAGGGUGCGUAGGCGGUUUAGUAAGUCAGUGUUUAAAGUCUGCAGCUUAACUGUAGGUAUGGCAUUGAUACUGCUGAACUUGAGUAAAGUUGAGGUGGGCGGAAUUUAUGGUGUAGCGGUGAAAUGCAUAGAUACCAUAAAGAACACCGAUUGCGAAGGCAGCUCACUAAGCUUUAACUGACGCUGAGGCACGAAAGCGUGGGGAUCAAACAGG